ensembl:lncRNA
AAAAAAUUAAUCAGUCUGAUUGUGCUUGAUGAAGAGUUUGCUUAAACGCCUCUUGUUGGCGAGAAUAAAUUCUUAGAGCAACAGUAUGCCAACUUUUUGUGCUUUCUGAUUGAUUAUUUGGGUUAUUUCAUUACUUUUUCUACUUAACCAUAACUGAGAUGUAAAAAAACUGAUGCAAAAAAAAAAAAAAACUGGAAAAAAUAGGAAAAACUGAACUAUGUGUGGGCUGACUGUGGUAGGCUGGUCAGGUGACGGCAUUUUAAAGUAGGCUGUGAAUGUGUGUGUGUGUGUCAAAAACGGUUCACAAAAAAAAAAAAAAAAAAAAGAUACUUAUUACUUAGUACGAUACUACUUUUAAUCAUUCUGAAAAGUUUUCCGGUCAAAAAGGCAUCUGUACAUGCACACAUACAGUACGUACACACACACACACACACACACACACACACACAUAACAGUAGAUCUCAACAGGAUACUGCAGUUAGUCACAGGCACAUGAAAACUGGAGGAAAUGGAGUGACAAGAAAAAAGGAAGACACAAAUCACGCCGUGUCAUGUGUGCAGAGAAACAGAUUGUUCGCUAUCAGCGGUGAUGGUGCGCGGAGGAAGAAUGCGAGCAUGCAGCGAAGUCAAACAAAAGUGCCUCAGAUGAAUAUUCCUGAAACAGAACAGGAUGGACUUGCUAAAACCAAAUCACGCACUCAUCCUGCACCGACGGAGGGGGAAGUCGGGGACCCCGCACAUGCAGGCAGCGCUCAACCAUCAGGAAAUACUCUUUUCACCCAGACAGAGGUUAUUCAGACAGGCUCAAUCUUUUCAGAUCGUGUGAUGCUCCAUGUCUUCAUUUCAAUUUAG